AUUGCACGCUGGCGGCAGGCUUAACACAUGCAAGUCGAGCGAGCGGAGGCCGGGUGCGUAAUGUAUGGGGAACUGCCUGAUGGAGGGGGAUAACUACUGGAAACGGUGGCUAAUACCAACUACAAUAGGAUGUGGCCAGAUGGGAUUAGCUAGUAGGUGGGGUAAAGGCUGACCUAGGCGACGAUACCUAGCUGGUCUGAGAGGAUGACCAGCCCAACUGGAACUUAGACACGGUCCAGACUCCUACGGGAGGCAGCAGUGGGGAAUAGUGCACAAUGGGCGCAAUCCUGAUGCAGCCAUGCCGCGUGUAGGAAGAAGGCCUUCGGGUUGUAAAGUACUUUCAGCGAGGAGGCGUUACUCGCAGAAGAAGCACCGGCUAACUCCGUGCCAGCAGCCGCGGUAAUAC
rnacentral:rRNA from 1 species